UACCAGCUGGCUGCAACUGUUUAUUAAAAACACAGCACUGUGCAAACACGAAAGUGGACGUAUACGGUGUGACGCCUGCCCGGUGCCGGAAGGUUAAUUGAUGGGGUCAGCGCAAGCGAAGCUCCUGAUCGAAGCCCCGGUAAACGGCGGCCGUAACUAUAACGGUCCUAAGGUAGCGAAAUUCCUUGUCGGGUAAGUUCCGACCUGCACGAAUGGCGUAAUGAUGGCCAGGCUGUCUCCACCCGAGACUCAGUGAAAUUGAACUCGCUGUGAAGAUGCAGUGUACCCGCGGCAAGACGGAAAGACCCCGUGAACCUUUACUAUAGCUUGACACUGAACAUUGAGCCUUGAUGUGUAGGAUAGGUGGGAGGCUUUGAAGCGUGGACGCCAGUCUGCGUGGAGCCGACCUUGAAAUACCACCCUUUAAUGUUUGAUGUUCUAACGUGGACCCGUAAUCCGGGUUGCGGACAGUGUCUGGUGGGUAGUUUGACUGGGGCGGUCUCCUCCUAAAGAGUAACGGAGGAGCACGAAGGUUGGCUAAUCCUGGUCGGACAUCAGGAGGUUAGUGCAAUGGCAUAAGCCAGCUUGACUGCGAGCGUGACGGCGCGAGCAGGUGCGAAAGCAGGUCAUAGUGAUCCGGUGGUUCUGAAUGGAAGGGCCAUCGCUCAACGGAUAAAAGGUACUCCGGGGAUAACAGGCUGAUACCGCCCAAGAGUUCAUAUCGACGGCGGUGUUUGGCACCUCGAUGUCGGCUCAUCACAUCCUGGGGCUGAAGUAGGUCCCAAGGGUAUGGCUGUUCGCCAUUUAAAGUGGUACGCGAGCUGGGUUUAGAACGUCGUGAGACAGUUCGGUCCCUAUCUGCCGUGGGCGCUGGAGAACUGAGGGGGGCUGCUCCUAGUACGAGAGGACCGGAGUGGACGCAUCACUGGUGUUCGGGUUGUCAUGCCAAUGGCACUGCCCGGUAGCUAAAUGCGGAAGAGAUAAGUGCUGAAAGCAUCUAAGCACGAAACUUGCCCCGAGAUGAGUUCUCCCUGAGACUUUAGGUCUCCUGAAGGAACGUUGAAGACGACGACGUUGAUAGGCCGGGUGUGUAAGCGCAGCGAUGCGUUGAGCUAACCGGUACUAAUGAACCGUGAGGCUUAACCUU
rnacentral:rRNA from 1 species